rnacentral:rRNA from 1 species
GAUGAACGCUGGCGGCGUGCCUAAUACAUGUAAGUCGAGCGAAUGGAUUAAGAGCUUGCUCUUAUGAAGUUAGCGGCGGACGGGUGAGUAACACGUGGGUAACCUGCCCAUAAGACUGGGAUAACUCCGGGAAACCGGGGCUAAUACCGGAUAACAUUUUGAACCGCAUGGUUCGAAAUUGAAAGGCGGCUUCGGCUGUCACUUAUGGAUGGACCCGCGUCGCAUUAGCUAGGUGGUGAGGGAACGGCUCACCAAGGCAACGAGGCGUAGCCGACCUGAGAGGGUGGUCGGCCACACUGGGACGGAGAACCGGCCCAGACUCCUACGGGAGGCAGCAGUAGGGAAUCUUCCGCAAUGGACGAAAGUCUGACGGAGCAACGCCGCGUGAGUGAUGAAGGCUUUCGGGUCGUAAAACUCUGCUGUUAGGGAAGAACAAGUGCUAGUUGAAUAAGCUGGCACCUUGACGGUACCUAACCAGAAAGCCACGGCUAACUACGUGCCAGCCGCCGCGGUAA